rnacentral:lncRNA from 1 species
CUGUCAUCCAGUUAUCCGGUUGGGGUUCAUCUCCGACGAUCAUCUCGUCUUCUGUCAUCAACUCCUUCCGUCCCCCACUUUUGCUAAGGCCUGUUGGGAUCUCCUUAGAGUAUCGACAAGCAACUUCAGCGUGUCUGAAUCCUUUGCAUUGGGUAUAUACCAACGAUGGUUUAAGGUAAAUUAUUUUUAUUUGACCCUCUGUUUCGUUUCCACUUUCUCCCUGCAUAUAUAUCGGUACCUCCGUCCUUUUCCAUUUUGUUGAUUGUAUCUUGAUUUAUUAGCGCUUCAUAUCUCCCGUUUCUCGUCGUAGGUCGUAUGAAUGUUAACUUAGUCGUAGUUCCCUCCGGUAGUGUAGGAGCAGGUUUCAGGAUUGAUGCAAAAGUGUGUGGGUCGGGUUCGGUAAUGGGUUUGCUCAACCUCGAUAUAAAAUUCUUGGCUGCUGCGUUGGGAUUCCGCAACCACAAGAUCAUCCAAUGUUCCCUCUCCACUUUUAAUUCUCCUCCUUCUCUCGAUUUCUAAACUAUCCACAGUAGGACCUAGAUACUCAUCGUCCACUAGUCUAGCCAAUCUCAAAUGCUCUGUUCUUGAAAUCCCCUAUUUCUCUAAUACUCUAUAAUCUUCUUCUGUACCUUUUCCUGAACGAGCCCUAUUCCUUCUCGCGACCUCCACGGGAUUUGUUGUAGGUAGUAACAAACCAUCUCCGGCUAGUAUGCAAAUUUUCCUCAGUUCAGCAUGUAAGCUACGUUGCACUUCCAUGGACGCAAGGUCCUCCAACGUCCCCUUAGGUAGGUACCCAUCUCCUACUAGUUUGCCCCAUGUGAAUUUCUCAGCAACAAUCUGUAGAAUUUAAAUUGUCGAUACAGUAUUAUAUUUUAAUCAUGUUAAUUUAAACUCUAAUUACAAUCUUAAUCUAUAAGGUAAAAUUAAUCAAGAUUAGACCUAACUCUAAUUAGGUACAAAUAAACCCUAGAAUUAUUUGAGUCAAAUGUUAAAGUCAAAGUCAAAAUUAAAAUUGAAACAAUUGCAUGUAUAUAUCUUGAAUAUUAUUCUUUUAUCUAUAACACUCUAUUUAAGGUAUAAUAUUAUUCAAUGGGAUAAAAUAUUAUUCAUGGUGCAACUAUUCAAGGGACAAAACAUUAUUUGAUAAAUAGGAUUUCAUCCACUCAAUUAAAGCUAAAUUAAGGAAUAUCAUCAUGAGAAAAAUCAUUUAAAGACAAUCAAGUUUUAGACCUAUGUGAAAGAUCAAAGAGUCAUUCAUUAAAAAUCUAAGUGUGGAAAAGUGAUGACCUAAUCUAUAAAUAAAAGGGAAGAAUCUCAUUUUCGUCAACUACACCAUAAACACAAGUUUGAGUUUUAACUCCACAUUUGAGAUCUUCAAGUGCUUCAUAGCUUCCAAGCUUCCAAAGUUGCUCAAGUGUUCGAUCUAGUUUCUAAAAGCUCCAAAGCUCUCCAACUUCUUCUAUUCCUCUUAUUCAUCUUAACAAGUAAGAAGUGUUGUGUGUUUAAAUAUUCCACUCUCUAUAAUCAUUUUUUAUGUGUGUCCACUUUGGUUAAGAGGUUUGUCUCAAGAUCACCAAAGUGCGAGAGAAGGUUUUUGAUCUAAACCAAAAAGUUCUAAGUUUGGUUUUAUAGAGUUUUCUGAAAAACUCUUAUGUUAAAUCUACCUUAAAGAUUCUAAGGUUCCAACUCUACCUGCUAAAACUUGAGAGGUUUUUAAAUAGUUUAAGGUAUGAGUCUACUCGUGAAAGAUUGGUUCGUAAACGUAGUCGCCUUAAAGCUUACAAAGGUUUUUAAGAGUGUCAUUAAAUACUCUAAGGUGUGAGUCUACCUGUAAAAGACUGGUUCAUAAGCGAAGUAGUUUUAAAACUUAUAGAGCUAUUGCCAUAACCUUUAGGCUAGUAAUCUCCGAUUUAAUCGAGACCAGAUUAGCUUUUGUUUGGGUGAACCAGUAUAAAUCUUUUAUGUUGUUCUUUGUUAGCUUUCAUAUUAUUAAUUGUCUAAAAACAACUAAACAAUAAACUCAAAAGAUUCCCUCUUUCUGUUAUCUGGUCAAAGAAAAAAGGUUGACUACUUUCAGCAAAUCUCUCAUCUAAUUAUCUGAUGUUAACUUUAUUGCUUAAAUUCUUAUCCAUUCAUCUGGUCAAGAUUUACUUUCAAUUCUAUAUCCAGUCAUCUGGUUAAGCUAAUUGAUUUAUAUAUUAUUACUGUUGUUCAAACUUUGUUUUAUUAAGUAUUUACAAGUGAUUCAACUAUUAAUAUGUAAAAAGCGAAAAGAGGCUAUUAACCUUCCUUUUCGUCUGGCGUGAUAGUGUCGACAAUGCUUCGGGAUGGGUUCCCUUUUCCAUUUCGGCUGUCUGCAAAAUUUAUUCUUCCACCUCCUCGCCUUUCUUGACCCCUGUCACCAGCCAUGCCUUUCAUCGGCGAGCCAACAACCACGCUAAAAUGGUAGCUCACGUCUGUCCAGCCUCCCCCAUCGUCGACCUCCAUAUAUAGAGGUCUGCUCCAUGAGCUAAAAAAUGAAGAAGACUUUACUCUUCCUUUUGCUGUACCUGACACACCUACAAAAAAAAUCGCAAUCGCCAAAAAAAUUGCCCCAAGCAAUUAGAGGUUGCCAUCUUUGAACCGCCACAACCUUUGUAGCAUGUCUAUGUGAUUUCUUGAAGUUUGAAAUAAUUAUAAUUACUACCAAUCAGCUCAACAUGUGUUAAUUCUCAAGUGACUAGUGACAAGUGAAAAUAUAUAACUAGAUUAUAAGUUAAUUUCAAAGUUUAAACCAACAAAUACAGGGAGAUUAACCCACUCCAAAUGUAAUAACCCACUCCAAAUGUGGGGUGAUUAAGUAAAAAGGGACGGAUUAUGGAGCCGGGUCCGAGUUAGGUUUAGGGGAUAAAAAGAAAGUUGGAAAGAGAAAGAAGGAACGGGCAAAAGAGAGGGCACCAUGCAUAGUAAAAGAAAAAAGACAGUGGGUGAGAAGAUCAUCCGGAGAAAACGGCGGAAGAACGAUCAAGGUGUCGGGGAGCUCCAGUAGCGUGGUGUGUUCUGUGUGUAAGGGGAAUGGCUCAGACUGUGCAGGUAUGUAGUGAUUAAAAUAUGCAAAGAAAAGUGGAGAGUUGAUAGACUUAGUGUAACAUACAGUGGUAAACUUAAAACGAUUGUAAAAAGUUGUAGGGUAAAAAUAGUAAUUAACUUUCUUCCCCAACGACUAGAUUGUGCAGUAGUCGUUGAGAUUUCCGGGAGAUCGACGCAGUCGUUUGUUUGAAAGUUCGGUCGUAACACUUAGAUGCAUAGAAAGUUAUUGGAGGGGAAGGGAUAGUUGGGAUGGAGAUCGGGUUGGAGACUUAUAUCUGGACAGAAAUUAUAUUAUUUUCAAUCACAUUCUUUAAUAGAUCAAUUUUUUUUUUCAUAAACCCAUGAUAACUUGAAUUGUGUUAGUGGUUGAGUUAAUACGUUUUUAUAGUCUUUGACAUGGUUUUAUUUAAUUAAUUGUUUGACAUGUAUUUUAAUUUACCGAGUGCUCCUAUCUAGUUAGGAAUUAGGAUAAUAUCGUAUUAUUAGGGAUUUCAUCGAUCGAUCUGUUGCAUGACCUUUAAUAUGGUGGUUCAUCGUUACAUUGUAGUCCUUAGGGGGAUGUGAUCUGGUUGUUUUUUUGUUUGUUAAGGUUACUUUGAUUAAAAAUAAAUAAGUUUCAAUAAUUGCAAUAUUAGAUUAAGCUAAUUAUCUUACCUAAUUGCCCGACGGUUAACCGCUGCUAAUCUCCUCCAUCCUUCUCGUGGAUGAGCAUAAGGAGGGCGUCCCAUUGGAGCAACGCCCUUUCCUCCUUGUCUGUCUUGCAUUUGCGCUUGAAUUUCCUCUCGUCAAACCCAAUCUCAGCCAUCUCGAUGCUUCGCCUGAGCAUUUGAUGUUUCGUAUCUGCCUUAGCUUGCAUUCUCUGUUGAUUUCUUUGCUUCCAUAUGUGGAAUAGCACUAUCCCCAGCAUAUUCCAUUGCAGUCCCCAGCACGAUCCCAGUGUGGUCGUGUUUAUCUCGCAGGCGACAUCUUCAAAUGAUUCAAUUGCGUUUGUCUUCAUCAGAGCUCCAGUUGCAUCCAUCGCCUCCUUGAGUACCCAUUUCGAGUAUUCACAGUUGAAGAACAGAUGAUUUAAUGUUUCUUGCUCGCGGUCGCAUAGCGUACAUUCCCCAUCGAUUGUCAUGCCUCGGCGUAUAAGCCUGUCUUUGGUCGGUAAGUUUGCCCACCGGAUCCUCCAUAGAUUCAGUGUCACUUUCUCGAUUUUAUUCGCCCAAAUACCUCUUGUCAGUUCGUUCUUGGGGUAUUCCGGCUUCAGGGUGUCUGUGAUCUAGUUGUUGUUUUAUGCAUAUUUAUUUGCUGAUAUGAAUAUAAAUUUCUAUUUUCGUUACUUAAUUAGAUGAAUGUGUUAUUAUUAUUAUUACAUUGAAUAGGUGAUUAAAUGACCGAAUAACAAAUAGAUUUGAAUGUUUUGGACAUCCAACUGUACGGUGACUGAUGACUGGCUGAUAUUAUUGAUAACCGUGAUCGAACUAGUAGUAUUCAUAUUGUGAUUGCAUGUGAAUGCAGGAAUGAGUUAGCCACUACCUAAAUAGGUUAUCCGAACCCGGAGUGCAUCUAGGAAGAAGCAAAUUAGAAG